rnacentral:snoRNA from 1 species
AAGACUGUACUCACUAGGAUCAUUUCUGUAGUACAUGUCCCACCGCUAGAAAACACUCUAGCAACAACACCAAGCCACGAUGAAGAGAUGGAGUUUCCUCCUCUGAGCGUGAAGCUUGCAUUGGAUCUGUCCUUGGUGCUACACCAAGGCUGUGUCCUUUGCAUUGAGGAGCAUUCCUUCUUUCCUCUUGGAGGAAAAGGGAGGAGGAGGAAACAUCCAGAGUGGU